UUCUUAUCGAAUUAACCUUCGAUAGAGUCUCGAAUGAGUCUCGUUAAGGUUGUUUGAUUUUUGGGACCGGACGAGGUCGCGGGCUUGCUCGCAUCUCGUCGCGGGUCGGACCAGCCUUGCACUGAUGCUGGGAUCGGCCCACACGCC
rnacentral:snRNA from 1 species